rnacentral:lncRNA from 1 species
UGGACGUGGAGGAUACAACGGCAGAAGAGGGUAUUGCCGCUAUGGUUGCUGCGAUAGAGGUUAUCAUGGGCGCGGAGGUUGCAGGCGCUGCUGCCACUAUGCUGGUGAGACUGUUGAUGCCCAAACCCAAGUCCAGACACAUGACUAGAGCACCAUAAAUUAUAAAUAAGCGCUACAAUGCAUAGCUCGGUGUAUAUAUAUAUGCACAGACGAAUGGUUUAAUGAAAUAUAUAAUGUGUGUUUAGUGUGUUAGUCUUUUGCUAACACAACUUUUGUGUAAGCACCGAGUAGUAUUUGUAGCGCCAGAAGUGCUUAAUAAGUUAAUAAAUAAAAUUACGAGUAUGGAUAUGUGAUGGUAGUUUUGUAGUGUUGUAUGCAUGCUCUAAAAUACUUCUUACUCCUUUUGUAUAUAAACUAUGCAAAUAUAUUAAAAACUAAGUAAGUAUUGAAUUAAAAUCUUAAACAAAAACCCUAGAGAGACAAGAGAAUGAGAGAGAGUCCAAACAGGUUCUGAAGAGCUCAUUUCUUUUUUUUAUUUAUACUGAAAAAUAUUGAAGAAUCUGUAAAGUGCACAAAUUUUUCACAAAUAUGAUAUACAAACUAAAUUAGAAAAUGCCAACAUAUAUAUAUAUACACACACAUACUCAUAUUACAUACACACGCAUCAUGCUUUUGAAGCUUCAGCACGAAAGCCCAAUGGAGAGAUGAAUGUUGGGAUUGGGCCUAAAUCUUAUUCUUUCAGUAUUUCAAAUUUAUUUCGAUUAACAACUACAUAAUAAAACUUUUCGUCUUAAGCUUCUGUUAUUAUCUUAAGUUUUUCAAAAUAAAAGAGAUAUUUAAAUUAAAGUGACAGCCGAACUGAGUAUUUAAAUAUUUGAUUUUGAUUUUUUUCAAAUAGUGUUAAGUUCAGGUUUUGCUUGAAGUUUGAUUAAUUAUCUUAAAGGCUCAAACUUAAUUUGCUUGCAAAGAGUUUCAACUUGAAAAAAUUCAAAUUAUAUAAAAUUUAUUUGGAUAAAUUCGAUAAAUAAUAUCCUAUUUACUUAUUUUUGUUUAAUUUUUAUGAAAAUAUUUUUUAUAUUAUCAAAUACGUACUCAAAAAAAUAUAUAAAAAUAUUAACUUAUUAAGGAUUCAAAACUUAUAAAAGUAAAAGAUUUUUUUUUUUUAUAAGACUUAAUAUUCUAAGAGAAUCAAUACUAUUAUAUGGAUCAAAAGUAAUUUUACUUAUAAUAGUCAUAAUACUAGAAUUUAACAAAAUUGAUUUUUCGAAAGUACUUAUUGAUUUUGCUCCAGGUGGAGUAAACUUAUCUUACAUUCAUUCCCGAGCCUCCGAAAUCUUAACAGUUCUGAAGAGAACUUUCUACGCUAGUUUUAUUUUAUUCAAUUAAAAUUAAACUACUUUGUUCACUAAAGUAUUUUAUCUGGGAGAUGUUUUUAUCUUUCUUUUUGGUAUAAUUCACUUUUAAUUUAACAUUGAAGAGAGUAAUGUUGUUACUUACGCAAUUCUAAGUAACCAAAAUUCAGGGAUGAUCACUUUAAGAAAUGUUAUUUUUGCCUCAAAACCACUAAUAUAGCCUAAUGUUACUGUCAAGGCAUACAAUUGGACAAACAUGUUGUGCAAGAACUUCAUUCAUGAAAAUAAACUUUUAAUACCUCAGAAAAAAUAUUAUCUUAUAUAUAAUAUAUGUUUGUGAUUUUCUUAUAAUUUAUGAAUUGUCAAAAAUCAUGCAAUGAAAGUAAUGAGUGAAGACAACAGAAAUGCAUGAACAAAUAUUAUAUAUGGAAUAGAUUUAAUAUAUUUUAUAAAAUUAUUGGAUGACUCAAUCAUUUUAAAAUUUAAAUAUAAUUUAUUGAUUGAUUCAAUUUAUUAUUUAUAUUAUAUAAUCGUAGCCCAAAAUAUGUAUUUGGGUAUGUACAAGAGGUUGAGGGAGAGAUGAAAGGAGAUAAAUAGGGAUAUAUAUACACACACACACACGUGUGUGUAUAUAUAAUCAAGAAGAAAAAAAUUAGUUUAUUCCAUUAGGACAAAAGUUUAAGUGGAUCAAAAAACUAUAUUCCACCAUUUUCUCACACAAUUAGAUUAUCACUUAUAAUAAUUUUAAUUUAUUUGUUUAAUAGAUUUCGGCUCCUUCACUUCCCUUCCUCCCAUGGAGUUGAGUUCAACUAAUUGGUGAAUCCAAGUCCAAACUUAACUAUAUCUUACUAAUGGAUAGUCCAUAUAUAUAUACAUAUAUAUAUAUGUAUAUGUAUAUGUAUACGCACGGGCUGUACAAUACAGAUUUCAGUUGAAUGAUUAUGCAUGCGUCACACAUGACGUUUGUUUUAAAUGUUAUUUGCAUGUAUGUAUGUGAUUUUUAACUAACCAAAAAUCAAAAUUAUUCCUUGAUAAUUUUUAAAACUCUGAACAUCUACCUCGAAAAUUAGUACAUCUUAUACUAGAAAUAUCGUACUUUAUGACAUAUAUAUAUAUAUAUACAUGAAGAUAUACACUUAAAUCCAUGUGGAUAUAGAAUGGACACAUGCAUGGACUCUAACAUAAAUGCUACGACUUGUUCAAUGCGAUAGCUACAAUUAUUCAUGUACUUUCAAAAUUAAUUAAUAGCAAGUAAUUUUUUUAUAAAUUAAAUAAUUAAUUUAAAUUAAAGCGAUCGAUUAUCGGAAACGAAUCUAUCAUAUCUUCAACUUCAAUCUAAUCCACACAAGUAAUAUUUUCAACCCAACUCCAAUCAUACAUUAUUUUCUUUUCUCUUUUUUAUUAAUUUAGUUAAUAUUAAAAUUUUAUAUACGAUUAAGAUAAAUGUUAAUUAGUGUAUUUUAUUUUAAUUUUGAAGAUUCAAUUCGAUUUAUAAUUGUCAAUAAAAUAAAUAAAUUUUGAUUCUCAAUUCAAUUAUCAAUUUAACAAUUAUUUUAAAUUUUUAUAUGAUAAUUAAUCAUAUGAUUAGUUAUUUAAAAUGAUAUUAAAUGCCCAAAAUUUUAUUAAAAAUUAAUUUUCCCAAAUAAUUGAGCUUUUUAGUUAAUUUACGACUGCUUCCGUUUAUUUUAUUUUUAUUUUUUUUUAUUUUUUUGGAAGCAGAAAAUAUUGACUUUUUCUCAUCUUACAAGUCUCUUCCCAAUCACAUACGCAAUAAAUAAAGCUCAGAGCAACUCCCCACAAUUACUGCUUCUUUUAUUUUCACCACUUGAAAAAUAAGUAAAUUCAUAGUAAGAAGAAAAUGUUGAAUUUUCCUUUUUUUUCAUUAAAUCAAUUAAUGUAAGAUGUACGUCUUGAUAACUCUUCAACAGCCACCUACUGUUGCGGGCCAUCAUAUGUAUAUAUUUGCGCUGAAAAUGUAUCUCCUUCUUCCCCCUAUAAAUACACACAGCCAACCAUUACUUGUCAUCACAUCCUUCAUACUAAGUAGAGCCAGUGUCGAGUUGCAGCAACCAAAAACCAUGGCAUCGAAGAUUUUCCUUCUCCUAGGCCUUUCAUUGGCCAUACUUCUUCUCAUCUCCUCCGAGGUGGCUGCAAGAGACCUCGCCGAGACGGAGACCCAGCAGGAACAUGGUCAGCUUUACCUUCUUCAUUCUGACAAUCACUCUUUACUACUUUAUUAAUCACAUGCAAUGUAGUUACUAACACUACAUAUCUAUACGAAUAAUGAUCAUAUGCAUAUACUGCGUGUAAAUUUAUGCAGGAGAGGUUGAGGAAGAGACAAAUGGAGUGGAAGAGGCUAAGUAUCCAGGAUAUGGAGGAUACCCUGGAGGCGGCGGAUACAACGGUGGGUACAACGGUGGACGUGGAGGAUACAACGGCAGAAGAGGGUAUUGCCGCUAUGGUUGCUGCGAUAGAGGUUAUCAUGGGCGCGGAGGUUGCAGGCGCUGCUGCCACUAUGCUGGUGAGACUGUUGAUGCCCAAACCCAAGUCCAGACACAUGACUAGAGCACCAUAAAUUAUAAAUAAGCGCUACAAUGCAUAGCUCGGUGUAUAUAUAUAUGCACAGACGAAUGGUUUAAUGAAAUAUAUAAUGUGUGUUUAGUGUGUUAGUCUUUUGCUAACACAACUUUUGUGCAAGCACCGAUUAGUAUUUGUAGCGCCAGAAGUGCUUAAUAAGUUAAUAAAUAAAAUUACGAGUAUGGAUAUGUGAUGGUAGUUUUGUAGUGUUGUAUGCAUGCUCUAAAAUACUUUUUACUCAUUUUGUAUAUAAACUAUGCAAAUAUAUUAAAAACUAAGUAAGUAUUGAAUUAAAAUCUUAAACAAAAACCCUAGAGAGACAAGAGAAUGAGAGAGAGUCCAAACAGGUUCUGAA